rnacentral:rRNA from 1 species
AUUGAACGCUGGCGGCAUGCUUUACACAUGCAAGUCGAACGGUAACAGGGAGCUUGCUCCGCUGACGAGUGGCGAACGGGUGAGUAAUGCGUCGGAACGUGCCGAGUAGUGGGGGAUAACGCAUCGAAAGGUGUGCUAAUACCGCAUACGUACUGAGGUAGAAAGUGGGGGACCUUCGGGCCUCACGCUAUUCGAGCGGCCGACGUCUGAUUAGCUAGUUGGUGAGGUAAAGGCUCACCAAGGCGACGAUCAGUAGCGGGUCUGAGAGGAUGAUCCGCCACACUGGGACUGAGACACGGCCCAGACGCCUACGGGAGGCAGCAGUUGGGAAUUUUGGACAAUGGGCGCAAGCCUGAUCCAGCCAUGCCGCGUGUCUGAAGAAGGCCUUCGGGUUGUAAAGGACUUUUGUCCGGGAGCAAAUGCCUGGUGUUAAUAGCACUGGGAGCUGAGAGUACCGGAAGAAUAAGCACCGGCUAACUACGUGCCAGCCGCCGCAGUAAAAC